rnacentral:lncRNA from 1 species
AUUUUAGCUCCUCCUCUCUUAAAAGGUUCGCUAAAGCAUUUUUUGCUGAAUUUUUCAACUCCAAUUCUUGACUAGUCAAGAGUCUAGCUUCAGCUAACUUGUCUAGUUCAUCUGCUCUAGCUAACAGUCUCGCCUUCUCCUUCUUAUAUGUUCCACUAAUAUUUUUCGCCCAACCUCUUAGAAAUGACUGUUUAGAAGAGGAAGAAGAUCAUAUUUCUUGUAGUGUCAAUUGCCCUUUUCUACUGUUUUAGUAUGUUUAUGUUUUCUGAAUUUUGUGUAAUGCUUCUUUUUUUGUUUACAUUGCUUUCGGGGUGUUGUUAGUGGUCAAAACAAUUGACUUUCUUAACAUGAUUAUCAAUAUAUGAGUAACAAUGUAGGAGUAAUACAAUAAAUAAGAGGCCACUAGCAUUUGUUGUGAUCAAUGGUCACGAACAUGAAUUGGGAUAAGGAGUGGAAAUUAGUUUUCCCCCACUUAUCGUCAGCCGGUGAAUUGGGGUACGUGAAAGUAGUCUGUAAUUCUUAUAUUUGAUUUAAGU